rnacentral:rRNA from 1 species
UACAGAGGUCCCGAGCGUUGUUCGGAUUCACUGGGCGUAAAGGGUGCGCAGGUGGGUUGGCAAGUUUGAUGUGAAAGCCCCGGGCUUAACCCGGGAAUGGCAUUGAAUACUGCUGAUCUGGAGGAUCGGAGGGGGGACUGGAAUUCUUGGUGUAGCAGUGAAAUGCGUAGAUAUCAAGAGGAACACCAGUGGCGAAGGCGAGUCCCUGGACGAUACCUGACACUGAGGCACGAAAGCCGGGGGAGCAAACAGC